rnacentral:lncRNA from 1 species
UAAAAUUAAUAGCAAAUAUCGACAAGCGAAUAGACGAAAAGUAAAAGUACAGAGAGAGAGAGAGUUAGGUCCAAAUGGAGUUUGUGUCUGCCUGGACCGGUAUUUGAACCCAUUUUGAUUUGCUUUUUUUGGGCCAUUUCCACAUGCCCUAAGAUUCUAACAUAUAAUUACUAAAUAAUUAAAUGAACAUAAGGGCUUAUGCCCAAUACUACAAAAUAAAAUAAAUGUGGGGUUUAAGCCCAAUCUCUUCAACUUCAGAUCUGGUGUUUUUUUUUUUACUCCAACACCUGUACGUCAGUUUCGUAUAGCUGGAUGACUUGAGAAACAAAAUAUUUAAGGCCUUUAUGGCCCAUCCAAAAUGCAAGGGAAAGUAAAAGAUAAGAAUCCCUGCGGACUUGGAUGAUAUCACAUGCAACAAAAUAACGGCAAGGAUUAGCAUUCAAAAUAAUAGAACGAAUGCUAUAAAAACAAGGUUUAAUUAAAAUGACAUCCACUGAUAAAUUCAAAUUAAGUUGAGAAAGACAACUCUAAAAAACCAAACAAGUAAACUAUCGACAACAAAGUUAUACAAAUAUAUAUAGAUAAGCAUGUGCAUCCAUUUAAGAAAAAAAAAACAUACUGAAUUUCCAAGAAUACAUAACCAUCGGCCAAUAAUAAAUUCAUAGCAUUAAGAGAUAAUAUGCGGCAUAACUAUUAGACAAAGCCUCGUGACAAAGUCCAAAUUUUACUUCACCAAUGGAACCUAAUAUCAUAAUUUAUUAUGAUAAAGAACAAAUAUGCUAUUAGAAUAUAGUAGCAACCCAAAAUUUAGAAUGGAUACUAUUUUUACAUUCAAUUUUACCAUGGCAAACAUCAUUAAUUAACUUAACAUUCUUAAAAAACAUUUAGUAGGAACAAAUCAAACAUUCCUAGAAGCUGGUAUGAUUCAUCAGUAAAUCAACACAAAUAGGUAGCAAAAAAAAAAAACAGUCAGUCAUGCUUAGGACAGAUAACGUCAAUCUAAACAAUGAUAAAGAUUAAGGCUGGAACAUUGUCUAAAACGAGGGUAAAACUACGCCAAACCAAUUAUGAAUUGCAAUCCAAAACUACCUCUGUAUUAUCGACCACAAAUAGGACAAAACAAAUAAACCCACGAGGGGAGGAUGGACAUUAGACCAUGAGAUUAUAUGCAAGCAAAGGCCUAAGAAUGCUUAACUCAAAGACUCACACUACCAGUAAAAAAGAAUGCUUGAUUCGUUCAUUUGACUUGAGAUUUGAAAGAAAAAAAAAUUAUCAUAUGUCCAUGGUGAUGAACGUAGACUAAAAUAAGUAAUCCUACAACAAGCAUUCAACAUUGAACCAGCCAACUAAUAAUACUCUACUCACAAUCUCACUAGUUGCUCUUUCAUUUUAUUUUUUUUUAAAAGUAACUCACGCGAGUAAAAUACUUCGAUAUUAAUCAACAAGAAUGCCUCCAUCAAAAAACCAAAAAAAAUUUUAUGUCACAAAGGACAUGAAAAAGUGAGAAAAGAAAACUAAGAAUCAAUAGAUCACUUCAAUUAACUAAAUAAAACACACAUCAGACAAGUAAAAAUUUUGGAAGAAAAUUUACCUUCUUCAAGGCAGCAAAUAGGACAGCACUAGCAGAGAGGUAAUGACUUUCACCACGAACACAUUGAACACUAAUGAUUAAGGAGACUAGGAAGAAAUUCAAGAAGUUCUAUAUUCUGAAGUGUAUCUCGAGUGUAUCACUACCCGUUUCUAAAGAUAUUCUCGAUUUGUUAGACCAAAUAAUAACCCAACUGAAAAUCGUCAACUUUUGUCCUAUCUUUCUCCAAAACUUCUCAACUCGAAAAUCCCUUCCAAUGUCCAACUAAAACAAUCCAACCGUUUUUUCCAAUCUUUUUCCGGCCAGCCCCCAGAGAUGAAGAAAAGAGAGCUUUUAUAGUGGGAAUUUAAGGCUGGAAAAUGAGGGAAAAUGGAUCCAAUUUGGGUUAAAAGCCCAUCUCAAAAUCAAAAUUUGAACUCUUUCAAGAUUAGAGGCAGACCAUCUUUUGCUAAAGCUUGCAUCCAUUCCUAAAGAGGGAAGGAGAACGGACGAACGGAUCAAAUUGAUUGUCCUUGGGAAAUGACGUGGCUUAAUCUCGAGCUUUCAAGGACAACUUCGCGUGACUUGCAGCUGCUAUUGUCAACAGUGUAUGAAACGAAGGGUAGACACUGAGGAAGGCGUCUCACGCGCUAUGGCUUAUGAGGUCAGCUAUUGCUAGGAAUUGCGUGAAAGGGACGAUGAAGAGUUUGGGUGAGAUCGGGUUUAUUACACGUGUUUCUUCUAGGAUUGCUGGAAACGAUGGAGCCCUGCUUUUGGGUGACUGGGAAAUUGACGCUUUUGGGUUCUCUUUUUGGGAAAAGAUUGGGUUGGGUCGGGUCAAUUUUUGUGUUUUUGGAGGAGUUGGUUUUAAAUUUGAUAAUGGUCUGGCUGGGA